rnacentral:rRNA from 1 species
UACGAAGGGGGCUAGCGUUGCUCGGAAUGACUGGGCGUAAAGGGCGCGUAGGCGGCGUGCACAGUCAGGCGUGAAAUUCCUGGGCUUAACCUGGGGGCUGCGCUUGAUACAUGCAUGCUCGAGUGUGGAAGAGGGUCGUGGAAUUCCCAGUGUAGAGGUGAAAUUCGUAGAUAUUCGCAAGAACACCAGUGGCGAAGGCGGCUCACUGGCCCGGUACUGACGCUGAGGUGCGAAAGCGUGGGGAGCAAACAG